rnacentral:rRNA from 1 species
UACGUAGGGUGCAAGCGUUGUCCGGAAUUAUUGGGCGUAAAGAGCUCGUAGGCGGUCUGUCGCGUCUGCUGUGAAAACUCAGGGCUUAACCCUGAGCUUGCAGUGGGUACGGGCAGACUAGAGUGCGGUAGGGGAGACUGGAAUUCCUGGUGUAGCGGUGAAAUGCGCAGAUAUCAGGAGGAACACCGGUGGCGAAGGCGGGUCUCUGGGCCGAUACUGACGCUGGAGGAGCGAAAAGCCGUGGGGAGCGAACAGG